AGUGAGUAUAGGAUGUGCUGCUUAAAAUAUGGGUUUGGGAAGGAUUUUGGUUAUUGCAUAGUUGGAACAGAAUCCCAACUUCCUCAACAACCAAAAAACAUAAAUUGCAAUGGCAUAAGUUUGACUCACUAUGUAAUUCACCAACAAGAUGCAAAUCUUGUAUGUAUAUGUGUCCUCCACCUAGAAGUUUCUGCAAGUAGCCAGUUUUGGAAAGUUCAUACCCUCAACACUUUCCCGCCGCUGCGACCCGCGUUAUUGCAAUGCUGAAACUCAGCCAGGCUGAACAAUGAAUGCAAAGGGAAGCAAGCAAGCUCCGGAAAGCGACCUGGAGGAGAGCAGCUCCCGAGGAGAAGCAGGCAGGAUCGGCCAGGUUUUGCAAGCAACCAGGAUCGGCUGGCAGGAAGGGAAAGGAAGCAUCAAUGCUGUCUGUCUUCAGAUCCCUUUGCUAAAGAAGCGAGAGCUGAGUUUUUCCUUGCUUCCCUUUGCAUUCAUUGUUCAGCCUGGCUGAGUUUCAGCGUUGCAAUAACGUGGGUCGCAGCGGCGGGAAAGUGUUGAGGGUAUGAAUUUUCCAAAGUCAUUCCUCACUGUGAUAAGUGCCUAAAUCUGAAUGAGGACUAUGUUGAAAUGUACUAUUUCAGUGUGGCUUUCAACUGCAUAUCCUACUGCUACCACUACUGAUGUUUGCCCUGCUGCCCUUGAUGUUGUUUACCAGUACCUUUCAGGCCCAUACAAGUCCUACAUGAAGGCAAUUGCUCCAUUUGCAACAACAACUCUGAUGAAGAAAGGGGCAUCAAAGUUGAAGAAAUGUGUGGUUCAACAUCCACCUCUGCUCAAAGAAGCAAUUCACCAAUUGAUUGAAAAUUACAUGGCACGUUGUAUAGCAAAGGGACAGCAGCAGCAACAGGGGCAGCAGCAACAGCAACAGCAACAACAGGAGCAGCAGCAGCAACAGAAGCAGCAGCAACAACAACAACAACAGGUACAGCAGUGGCAGGAGCAACAGCAACAACAACAGGAUGCAGCAGCAACAGGAGCAGCAGCAACAACAGGAGCAACAGCAACCAGGAGCGGCAGCCACCAACCAACAGGAGCAGCAGCGC
rnacentral:lncRNA from 11 species